UAAGGAAUAUUGGUCAAUGGGCGAGAGCCUGAACCAGCCAUGCCGCGUGCAGGAAGACGGCCUUAUGGGUUGUAAACUGCUUUUAUCGGGGAAUAAACCUUUCUACGUGUAGGAAGCUGAAGGUACCCGAAGAAUAAGCAUCGGCUAACUCCGUGCCAGCAGCCGCGGUAAUACGGAGGAUGCAAGCGUUAUCCGGAUUCAUUGGGUUUAAAGGGUGCGCAGGCGGAUUGGUAAGUCAGUGGUGAAAUUCUAGUGCUUAACAUUAGACCUGCCAUUGAUACUGUCAGUCGAGAGUAUAGUUGGAGUGUGCGGAAUUUGUCAUGUAGCGGUGAAAUGCUUAGAUAUGACACAGAACACCGAUCGCGAAGGCAGCUCACUAAACUAAAACUGACGCUCAUGCACGAAAGCGUGGGGAUCAAACA
rnacentral:rRNA from 1 species